rnacentral:rRNA from 1 species
CUAAUAUGACAAUAUAUUAUAUAUUGUCGGGUUACGACGGCAUACAAAAUACUACAUGAAGUGGAUUACCUUGGUGGUUAUCAAUUAUUUGGUAAGUUCCCCUAAAUUUUAAAAUUACCGUCAUGCUAUUUGAGUUUUAACCAAGAAGAUUUUAGUACUCAGUAUUUUUAAAUGGAUAUUGUAUAAAAGGGUAUCUAAUCCUUGUUUAUGAUCAAUAUUUUAAAUAUAUUAGAUUAUAUAAGAUUAUAAAUACUAUUUCACCAAAUAUUGAUAUAUAAGCUUUAUUAUACUAUACAUAGUUUAUUACUAUAAAAGUCUGACCGCGACCUGCUGGCACUUUUUAAGUCAUAGUAUAUAUAAUUGGUUUAUUCUUACUUUCGUAAAUUUUUAAAUUUUCUUUCCUGGUAAAGAUCUUUU